rnacentral:rRNA from 1 species
AUUGAACGCUGGCGGCAUGCUUUACACAUGCAAGUCGAACGGCAGCGCGGGGGGCAACCCUGGCGGCGAGUGGCGAACGGGUGAGUAAUGUAUCGGAACGUAUCCUGUAAUGGGGGAUAACCAGUCGAAAGAUUGGGUAAUACCGCAUACGCACGAGAGUGGAAAGUAGGGGAUCGCAAGACCUUACGUUAUAGGAGCGGCCGAUAUCUGAUUAGCUAGUUGGUGGGGUAAAAGCUUACCAAGCCGACGAUCUGUAGCUGGUCUGAGAGGACGACCAGCCACACUGGGACUGAGACACGGCCCAGACUCCUACGGGAGGCAGCAGUGGGGAAUUUUGGACAAUGGGCGCAAGCCUGAUCCAGCCAUGCCGCGUGUAGGAUGAAGGCCUUCGGGUUGUAAACUGCUUUUGUACGGAACGAAAGACUCUUUCUAAUAAAGAGGGUCCAUGACGGUACCGUAAGAAUAAGCACCGGCUAACUACGUGCCAGCAGCCGCGGUAAU